UACGGAGGGGGCUAGCGUUGUUCGGAAUCACUGGGCGUAAAGCGCACGUAGGCGGACCAUUAAGUCGGGGGUGAAAUCCCGGGGCUCAACCCCGGAACUGCCUUCGAUACUGGCGGUCUGGAGGUCGAGAGAGGCGAGUGGAAUUCCGAGUGUAGAGGUGAAAUUCGUAGAUAUUCGGAGGAACACCAGUGGCGAAGGCGGCUCGCUGGCUCGAUACUGACGCUGAGGUGCGAAAGCGUGGGGAGCAAACAGG
rnacentral:rRNA from 1 species